UUAUGGCUCAGGAUUAACGCUGGCGGCGUGCCUAAUACAUGCAAGUCGAAUGGUUAGCUUGCUAACCAUGGCGAACGGGUGAGUAACACGUAGGAAACCUGUCUAUCAGCCGAGGAUAACCAUUGGAAACGAUGGAUAAUACUGGAUAGGAUAUAGAUAGGCAUCUAAUUAUAUUUAAAGAUUUAUCACUGAUAGAGGGGCCUGCGGCGCAUUAGCUAGUUGGUGAGGUAGAGGCUUACCAAGGCGAUGAUGCGUAGCCGGACUGAGAGGUUGAACGGCCACAAUGGGACUGAGAACGGCCCAUACUCCUACGGGAGGCAGCAGUAGGGAAUUUUCGGCAAUAGGACGUAAAGUCUGAACCGAGCAACGCCGCGUGAACGAAGAAGUAUUUCGGUAUGUAAAGUUCUUUUGUUUGGGAAGAAAAUAAAUUGACGGUACCAAACGAAUAAGCUCCGGCUAACUACGUGCCAGCCGCCGC
rnacentral:rRNA from 1 species